rnacentral:sRNA from 1 species
CUAUACAAAAAGCAUUAGGAUUCAUCAGCCUAUACUAUAUUUGUGCCCAUUCUCCAUGUCCGAUAUCGUCAUCUUCAUACUUGUCGAUAUACUGCGAGAAGACCUCGCCAUCCGGAUGGUAAUGACGCCGAAGAUACAUUUUAAAAAGGAAAAUAAUGCCAAUUGGAACUCCAGCACCAACUGCCAUCACCGCCGACUGCGUCUUAAGAGUGGCGGCUAAAGGUUGGUCUGUCAGUAAAGAGAUUAAUUGGAGUCAUAGUACAUCAGCACCAUAGGAAAACUCACUUAAUACCAUGAACAUCUGCAUGAAGACGGUCGCAAUAAGGACGCGAUUUACCAAGAUCUUCCAGCACUUUCCAUCAGUCUCCUUGGAAUCAAAUACAAAUUUAAGCUGGUUAUUGUGCUACCGAGGUGAAGAAGUCAGUCAUCGCGGCGUCAGACGACAUUUUCGGUUUCUCGUUAUGAUCAAACCCACAAUGAUAUAUAGUGUCCAAAAGUAAAUAGCCGCGCAUAUAACAACGAUUGGAGCCAGCGGGGCGUACAUCAGACUAAAAAGUGGUCAGCAAGGACGUAACAGCCUAUCACGGCUUUGCUUACCCUACUACCAUAGCAAAGAGCUAGUUCAAUCGGAAUCAAUAGGGCCCCAUGCAUUAUACAAUGAACUCACC